rnacentral:rRNA from 1 species
GACGAACGCUGGCGGCGUGCUUAACACAUGCAAGUCGAACGGAAAGGCCCUGCUUUUGUGGGGUGCUCGAGUGGCGAACGGGUGAGUAACACGUGAGUAACCUGCCCUUGACUUUGGGAUAACUUCAGGAAACUGGGGCUAAUACCGGAUAGGAGCUCCUGCUGCAUGGUGGGGGUUGGAAAGUUUCGGCGGUUGGGGAUGGACUCGCGGCUUAUCAGCUUGUUGGUGGGGUAGUGGCUUACCAAGGCUUUGACGGGUAGCCGGCCUGGGUGGGUGACCGGCAACAUUGGAAUGGGGAUACGGCCAAGACUCCUCCGGGAGGCAGAGGUGGGGAAUAUUCCCCAAUGGGCGGAAGCCUGAUGAAGCAACGCCGCGUGCGGGAUGACGGCCUUCGGGUUGUAAACCGCUUUCGCCUGUGACGAAGCGUGAGUGACGGUAAUGGGUAAAGAAGCACCGGCUAACUACGUG